rnacentral:rRNA from 1 species
GACGAACGCUGGCGGCGUGCCUAAUACAUGCAAGUUGAGCGCUGAAGGUUGGUACUUGUACCAACUGGAUGAGCAGCGAACGGGUGAGUAACGCGUGGGGAAUCUGCCUUUGAGCGGGGGACAACAUUUGGAAACGAAUGCUAAUACCGCAUAAAAACUUUAAACACAAGUUUUAAGUUUGAAAGAUGCAAUUGCAUCACUCAAAGAUGAUCCCGCGUUGUAUUAGCUAGUUGGUGAGGUAAAGGCUCACCAAGGCGAUGAUACAUAGCCGACCUGAGAGGGUGAUCGGCCACAUUGGGACUGAGACACGGCCCAAACUCCUACGGGAGGCAGCAGUAGGGAAUCUUCGGCAAGGGACGAAAGUCUGACCGAGCAACGCCGCGUGAGUGAAGAAGGUUUUCGGAUCGGAAAACUCUGUUGGUAGAGAAGAACGUUGGUGAGAGUGGAAAGCUCAUCAAGUGACGGUAACUACCCAGAAAGGGACGGCUAACUACGUG